GAUGAAGAACGCAGCGAAAUGCGAUAAGUAAUGUGAAUUGCAGAAUUCAGUGAAUCAUCGAAUCUUUGAACGCACAUUGCGCCCGCCAGCACUCUGGCGGGCAUGCCUGUCCGAGCGUCAUUUCAACCCUCAGGCCCCCCGGGGACUGGUGUUGGGGAUCGGCCCGCCCUGGCGCGGCGCCGUCCCCGAAAUACAGUGGCGGUCUCGCUGCAGCCUCCCCUGCGUAGUAGCACACCUCGCAUUGGAGAGCGGCGCGGCCACGCCGUGAAACCCCAACUUCUGAUAGUUGACCUCGGAUCAGGUAGGAAUACCCGCUGAACUUAAGCUUAUCAAUAAGCGGAGGA
rnacentral:misc_RNA from 1 species